rnacentral:rRNA from 1 species
GACGAACGCUGGCGGCGUGCUUAACACAUGCAAGUCGAACGGUGAAGCGCCUUCCUUUUUGGUGGGUGUGGAUGAGUGGCGAACGGGUGAGUAACACGUGAGUAACCUGCCCCCUUCUUCUGGAUAACCGCAUGAAAGUGUGGCUAAUACGGGAUAUUCUGGGUCUGUCGCAUGAUGGGUCUGGGAAAGAUAUUGUUUCGGUGGGGGAUGGGCUCGCGGCCUAUCAGCUUGUUGGUGGGGUGAUGGCCUACCAAGGCGGUGACGGGUAGCCGGCCUGAGAGGGUGGACGGUCACACUGGGACUGAGACACGGCCCAGACUCCUACGAGAGGCAGCAGGGGGGAAUAUUGCACAAUGGGCGCAAGCCUGAUGCAGCGACGCCGCGUGAGGGAUGGAGGCCUUCGGGUUGUGAACCUCUUUCGCCAGUGAAGCAGGCCUGCCUCGUUUGUGGGUGGGUUGACGGUAGCUGGAGAAGAAGCGCCGGCUAACUACGUG